GCCACCACCAGGCAAGGGGUUCUUUGUCCAAGGACUCCCCACCCCACCCCCGCUCAUACCUGUUUGGGAGGCAGAGCUCUAACAGGAGGGAACUGCCCUUUAUAAAGGUCAUAGGAAACAGAGGUGUGUCCCCAGGCCGGCCCAAAGCUGCCAGGCCCAGGCCGUUCCCCAUAGCAGUUCUCUCUCUCCCCAGCUUAAGGUGCUGUCCCUUCCUUCAUCUGCACAGAGCCCUUGAGGCGGAGGAGGGCAGCGGCUGCAGAUGAAACCAGACCCUUCUUGGGAGGCUCAAGCCUCAGUUCCUGGCCUAGGCAGGGCAGGCCACAUGUUGUUAUGGUUGAGUCGACCAGCUGGGAAUCAGCAGGGGGUUUGUAAGGAAACUGCAUUAAUUAGGAAAAAGCAAACAUGACUGUCACUCCAGUCUGCCAGCCCCUUCCUCUGAUUUCCCUUGCAGUUCCCCCAGCCCCACGUGGUCUCCAUCAGAUCAACUCUCCCUCCACCUUCCCGCCCCUUUCCCCUUUCCGUUGCCUCUGCUCCUUCAUGGCUCACAUCUGCACUGCUCUUGGCUCUGACCCCUCUUCCUGGGCGAGGUGGGAGGAAGGCUGGAAGAGCACAUCCAUCCACAGCUGGGACCAGAACCUCCCCAGCCCUGAAGCCAUAGAUGGGCUGACCUAACUCCUUCCUGGGCUCUGGCCUGAGCCUCACUGUCCUGUUAGCCAGCAGCACAUCACUCGACCAGAUCAUCCCUACUGCGAAUUUAAGUUUUCCUUGGCAAAAUGAACAUUUCUGGGUUCAUCUCCUGUGGGUUUCCCUGAACAUCUUCAUUGAGAAGGUUUAUUUGGGAUGUAAGUUUAUCUCCAGAAUUAAGACAGAGUCCAGGACAAGAUGUGGAGAAAGAAGGGCGGUCUCCUUGGGAAAUGGGGUGGAACCUAGGGGACUGGGCUCCUCCGAAGAGGAGGUGGUAGAAGAAAUAAAGAGAGGUUCAGAAAUAAAAAGAGGUUCCUCAGCCUACCUUCUCUCAUACAUGUGUAUACAGUGUCAUUGCUGCUCUUCGAGUUCCAGGAUUGCCACUGCAGCUGGAAAUAGUUCUUCUCAUGCAUGAGAAUGGGUCUGUCAACAACCCCAGAGACUUAGGCUCAGAAAAAGACCCUUCCUUUGGGUGGCAGCUAACCAUCUGCAGCUCUCAGACAAGCGCCCUGACCCCCUUUUAUUCCACAGCACAGUUGUACUUACAAAAAGAAUCCACAGCAUACUCAACUAGGGAAAAGGGAAUAAAAGACUCACUAAUUAAAUAGAACAUACUGUUUUUGGAGU
rnacentral:lncRNA from 1 species